AAUCAUAGAGGUUAAGAAAUCUGCCGAUAACGCUAUUUUAUAGAAAUGUGGGAGAGGAGGCAGUCCCACCUAUGUUU
rnacentral:ncRNA from 1 species